GAUCGCUAUUUGCUCCCAGGGUACGUUAGAGCGGGGGAACCAUUUUUUGGGGCGUAUUUUCUUCAGGGUCACACUUAUAGCAUUUAGCUUUCACCCCGGAGAAGAAGGACAUCUCUCAGUCCUAGCCCGUCAGCUAACCCCGUCGGCAUCGAGAGGAGACUGA
rnacentral:sRNA from 2 species